rnacentral:rRNA from 1 species
UACGUAGGGAGCUAGCGUUGUCCGGAAUCAUUGGGCGUAAAGAGCGUGUAGGCGGCCGAGUAAGUCCGGUGUGAAAACUCGAGGCUUAACCUCGAGAUGUCAUCGGAAACUAUUCGGCUAGAGUCCGGAAGAGGAGAGUGGAAUUCCUGGUGUAGCGGUGAAAUGCGCAGAUAUCAGGAAGAACACCUAUGGCGAAAGCAGCUCUCUGGGACGGUACUGACGCUGAGACGCGAAAGCGUGGGGAGCGAACAGG